GGGGCGGUAGCUCAAUUGGUAGAGCACUAGCUUUGCAAGCUAGGGGUUCGGGGUUCGAGUCCCCGUCGCUCCA
rnacentral:tRNA from 1 species